rnacentral:rRNA from 1 species
GACGAACGCUGGCGGCGUGCUUAACACAUGCAAGUCGAACGGAAAGGCCCUGCUUUUGUGGGGUGCUCGAGUGGCGAACGGGUGAGUAACACGUGAGUAACCUGCCCUUGACUUUGGGAUAACUUCAGGAAACUGGGGCUAAUACCGGAUAGGAGCUCCUGCUGCAUGGUGGGGGUUGGAAAGUUUCGGCGGUUGGGGAUGGACUCGCGGCUUAUCAGCUUGUUGGUGGGGUAGUGGCUUACCAAGGCUAUGACGGGUAGCCGGCCUGAGAGGGUGACCGGCCACAUUGGGACUGAGAUACGGCCCAGACGCCUACGGGAGGCAGCAGUGGGGAAUAUUGCACAAUGGGCGGAAGCGUGAUGCAGCAACGCCGCGUGCGGGAUGACGGCUUUCGGGUUGUAAACCGCUUUCGCCUGUGACGAAGCGUGAGUGACGGUAAUGGGUAAAGAAGCACCGGCUAACUACGUG